ACUCAAAGGAAUUGACGGGGGCUCACACAAGCGGUGGAGCAUGUGGCUUAAUUCGAGGCUACGCGAAGAACCUUAUCCUGGGCUUGACAUGUGCGAAAGCGGUGGGUGUUGUAGCUGCCGGAAACGGCCAGCGAACCCGCAAGGGGGACCCACUACAGGUGCUGCAUGGCUGUCGUCAGCUCGUGUCGUGAGAUGUCGGGUUAAGUCCCAUAACGAGCGAAACCCUUGUCUCCAGUUGCCAGCGGGUCAAGCCGGGGACUCUGGAGAGACUGCCGGUGUUAAACCGGAGGAAGGCGGGGAUGACGUCAAGUCCUCAUGGCCUUUAUGCCCAGGGCUGCACACGUGCUACAAUGGCGUGAACAAAGGGACGCAAAGCCGCGAGGCCCAGCCAAUCCCAAAAAACACGCCCCAGUUCAGAUCGGAGGCUGCAACUCGCCUCCGUGAAGUUGGAAUCGCUAGUAAUCGCGGGUCAGCAACACCGCGGUGAAUGUGUUCCUGAGCCUUGCACACACCGCCCGU
rnacentral:rRNA from 1 species